CCUACGUGCGACAGCAGUGAGGAAUAUUGGUCAAUGGGCUUACGCCUGAACCAGCCAAGUCGCGUGCGGGAAGACUGCCCUAUGGGUUGUAAACCUCUUUUGUCAGGGAGCAAUUGGCGCUACGUGUAGCGUUAUCGAGAGUACCUGAAGAAAAAGCAUCGGCUAACUCCGUGCCAGCAGCCGCGGUAAUCCGGAGGAUGCGAGCGUUAUCCGGAUUUAUUGGGUUUAAAGGGUGCGUAGGCGGAAUGCCAAGUCAGAGGUGAAAUCCCGGGGCUCAACCUCGCUUUGCCCUUUGAAACUGUCGGGCUUGAGAGUACGUGCAGUAGGCGGAAUGUAUGGUGUAGCGGUGAAAUGCUUAGAGAUCAUACAGAACACCGAUUGCGAAGGCAGCUUACC
rnacentral:rRNA from 1 species